rnacentral:rRNA from 1 species
UACACUCCUGCGGGAGGCGGCAGUGGGGAAUUUUGGACAAUGGGCGAAAGCCUGAUCCAGCAAUGCCGCGUGUGUGAAGAAGGCCUUCGGGUUGUAAAGCACUUUUGUCCGGAAAGAAAUCCUUGGCUCUAAUACAGUCGGGGGAUGACGGUACCGGAAGAAUAAGCACCGGCUAACUACGUGCCAGCAGCCGCGGUAAUACGUAGGGUGCGAGCGUUAAUCGGAAUUACUGGGCGUAAAGCGUGCGCAGGCGGUUUGCUAAGACCGAUGUGAAAUCCCCGGGCUCAACCUGGGAACUGCAUUGGUGACUGGCAGGCUAGAGUAUGGCAGAGGGGGGUAGAAUUCCACGUGUAGCAGUGAAAUGCGUAGAGAUGUGGAGGAAUACCGAUGGCGAAGGCAGCCCCCUGGGCCAAUACUGACGCUCAUGCACGAAAGCGUGGGGAGCAAACAGGAUUAGAAACCCGUGUAGUCCCAUGA